AUUGAACGCUGGCGGCAGGCCUCACACAUGCAAGUCGAGCGAGCGGCGGACGGGUGAGUAAUGUCUGGGAAACUGCCUGAUGGAGGGGGAUAACUACUGGAAACGGUAGCUAAUACCGCAUACCAUCAGAUGGGCCCAGAUGGGUUUGGCUAGUAGGUGGGGUAACGGCUCACCUGGGCGACGAUCCCUAGCUGGUAUGCGAGGAUUACCAGCAAAACUGGAACUGAGACCCGGUCCAGAUGCCGACGGAAGGCGGCAGAGGGGAAUAUUGCACAAUGGGCGCAAGCCUGAUGCAGACAUGCCGCGUGUGUGAAGAAGUCCUUCGGGUUGUAAAGCACUUUCAGCGGGGAGGCGUUACCCGCAGAGGAAGCACCGGCUAACUCCGUGCCAGCAGCCGCGGUAAUAC
rnacentral:rRNA from 1 species